ACCAACAAAAGUUUGGUGGGAAGAUUAAAAUACUACCGCGUAUUUUCUAUGUUUCCUUUUACUUAUUUUUUUGUUUCUCUGUAUGUGUUGAAUACACCAAAGGAAACCCCUCUUACUCUUACUCUCGUCCACAGCCCAUCGAUCAUCUCCUCUCAUCGACUAACCAUCGGCCACCGUUGCGCAGAGCCCCCGAACCAGCAAAGGUACAUCGUCUGACACCCAUUUAAUUUGAUUCAGAGGCUUUCAAUAUUGGACCCGUAGAGAAGAAGCUGCUGCCUUGCAUGCCAGUCUUUCAAGCACCGUUUGGUCGGCUGCCAUUGACAAAAGCCAUGGCUUUAAGAUUGCCACGGAGUACACUAUCGCUCAGUACAAUUCACCAUUUCAGUUUGAGAACAAAGUGAAUGAAAUUUGGUUGAUGUUUGAUAUGGAAUAGUAAUCAAGAUGGUGAUGGAGUGUGAGAAUUUAGUGAAGACCUAUUAAUUAUUCAAUAAAAAUGUUAAAAUCUCUAAAAUCAAAUUAGGUAAGAGAGACAAGAUGAGGGACUUAGAUAAGGAACGCAAAAUUAUGUGUUUCCAAAUUAUUGUCUUUUUAUUUUAAUACACUCUCAACUAUUAAAUCAUAUAUAUAUCGAUAUUCUUAUCUAA